AUCGGUCAGAAUCAAACAACAUAUUUGUUAUAAUACAUAAUGUGAAUAAUAAAUUAUUUAAGUGACGUAAAUGUUAUCUAACUCCGCGUAAUAAAAACUUACGUGAUUAUGCACGCAGAAUGUACUUGACAUUUAAUUGCUCCAUUGUCAUUUCCUACUACAAGAAAAUACGAGCAAAAAGUGUGUGAAAAAUCGAGUAAAAAAGUACAAGCUGAAGGUGCUACAUCAAACGAGUGCGGAUGGUAUAUAGAGAUGUUUGCAAUUAAUUUUUGUUAACAAUAUUUCCUAUACAUAUAGAGUAAAAGCACUAAAUGCGGAUCUAAGGAAGGCACUAGUUCCGGAUAAUAUAUUAUAUUUAAAUAAUCAACAGUGCUGCUGCAUUUUACUGAUGUCAUUAAUUAAUAAAACGUGACAGAAAAACUAAAGUUAUUUAAGUUUGGCCGCUAAUCAAACAUUCAUCACCAUUUCGUAAAAUGGUGCAACGAGAGGCAGUGGUCGUAAGGAACGCCGUAAAGCGUU